UACGUAGGGGCCUAGCGUUGUCCGGAAUUAUUGGGCGUAAAGAGCUCGUAGGCGGUUCGGCAAGUCGGAUGUGAAAUCUCCACGCUUAACGUGGAGGGGCCAUUCGAAACUGCUGUGACUCGAGUCCGGUAGGGGAGUGUGGAAUUCCCGGUGUAGCGGUGAAAUGCGCAGAUAUCGGGAGGAACACCAGUAGCGAAGGCGGCACUCUGGGCCGGUAUUGACGCUGAGGCGCGAAAGCUAGGGGAGCAAACGGG
rnacentral:rRNA from 1 species